rnacentral:rRNA from 1 species
AGUGAACGCUGGCGGCGUGCCUAACACAUGCAAGUCGAACGAUGAUGGAGGAGCUUGCUCUUCCUGAUUAGUGGCGCACGGGUGAGUAAUGCAUAGAUAAUGUGCCCCUUAGUUCGGGAUAGCCACUGGAAACGGUGAUUAAUACCGGAUACUCCUUCUUACUAUAAGGUAAGUCGGGAAAGUUUUUCGCUAAGGGAUCAGUCUAUGUCCCAUCAGUUUGUUGGUGAGGUAAUGGCUCACCAAGACUAUGACGGGUAUCUGGUUUGAGAGGAUGAUCAGACACACUGGAACUGAGGCACGGUCCAGACUCCUACGGGAGGCAGCAGUGAGGAAUAUCGCACAAUGGAGGAAACUCUGAUGCAGCAACGCCGCGUGGAGGAUGACGCAUUUCGGUGUGUAAACUCCUUUUAAGAGGGAAGAUUAUGACGGUACCUCUUGAAUAAGCACCGGCUAACUCCGUGCCAGCCGCCGCGGUAAAAC